CGUUAAGGCAUGAUGGCCUGUACCCGAAACCGACACAGGUGGGGUGGUAGAGAAUACCGAGGGGCGCGAGAUAACUCUCUCUAAGGAACUCGGCAAAAUGGCCCCGUAACUUCGGGAGAAGGGGUGCCACCGCAAGGUGGUCGCAGUGAAGAGGCCCAGGCGACUGUUUACCAAAAACACAGGUCUCCGCUAAGUCGCAAGACGAUGUAUGGGGGCUGACGCCUGCCCAGUGCCGGAAGGUUAAGGAAGCUGGUCAGCGUAAGCGAAGCUAGCGACUGAAGCCCCGGUGAACGGCGGCCGUAACAAUAACGGUCCUAAGGUAGCGAAAUUCCUUGUCGGGUAAGUUCCGACCCGCACGAAAGGCGUAACGAUCUGGGCGCUGUCUCGGAGAGAGGCUCGGCGAAAUAGAAUUGUCUGUGAAGAUGCGGACUACGUGCACCCGGACAGAAAGACCCUAUGAAGCUUUACUGUAGCUUGGUAUUGUGCUCGGGCUCGGAAUGCGCAGGAUAGGUGGGAGGCUAUGAACCAUUGCUUGUGGGUGAUGGUGAGCCACUGGUGAGAUACCACUCUUUCCGAGCUAGAGUUCUAACAGCCACCCGUUAUCCGGGGGCUGGACAGUAUCAGGUGGGCAGUUUGACUGGGGCGGUCGCCUCCUAAAAGGUAACGGAGGCGCGCAAAGGUUUGCUCAGGCUGGUUGGAAAUCAGCCGACGAGUGUAAAAGCAGAAGCAAGCUUGACUGUGAGACCUACAAGUCGAACAGGGAGGAAACUCGGCUUUAGUGAUCCGACGGUUCUGCGUGGAAGGGCCGUCGCUCAACGGAUAAAAGUUACUCUAGGAUAACAGGCUGAUCUCCCCCAAGAGUUCACAUCGACGGGGAGGUUUGGCACCUCGAUGUCGGCUCAUCGCAACCUGGGGCUGAAGUCGGUCCCAAGGGUUGGGCUGUUCGCCCAUUAAAGCGGUACGCGAGCUGGGUUCAGAACGUCGUGAGACAGUUCGGUCCAUAUCCGGUGCAUGCGCAGGAAUAUUGAGAGGAUUUCUCCCUAGUACGAGAGGACCGGGAGGAACGCACCUCUGGUGUACCAGUUAUCGUGCCAACGGUAAACGCUGGGUAGCCAUGUGCGGAGAGGAUAACCGCUGAAAGCAUCUAAGUGGGAAGCCCACCUCAAGAUGAGUAUUCCCAUGGGGUAACCCAGUAAGGUCACGGGAAGAACACCCGUUGAUAGGCUCUACGUGGAAGCGCAGUAAUGUGUGAAGCGGAGGAGUACUAAUAGACCGAGGGCUUGACC
rnacentral:rRNA from 1 species